rnacentral:lncRNA from 1 species
CACAUGGCAAUUCAAUGUAAAAACCAAUCAUAAUAAACAACCAUUUAAUCCAGAGAUAUAAACCUCCGCGAACCAGCCAAUUUCACCAGUGACGAUUGGAGUCAUCAGUCUGCUUUUUGAACAUCGCAAUCAUCUAGCAGAAUUCUAAGCGAGAAUUAUUUAUUGGGCAACAUCAAUGUUCAUACAGUUAACUGGGGAGUAUACCUCUGUUCCCAGUGGCUAACCUUGAUUAAGGGCAUUCUGAACCCUUUAGAAAUGAUCAUUUCUUUCACCAUCUCCUAGAAUCCUCUGCCUGCCCCUUCCUGCCAAGGCCUGAGUGCUGAGAAGGCUGUCUCCAUUUCUCCUCGCCUCCAUUCAGUAAGCGGUGGCUCAUCCCCUAAUGCAAUAAGCAGGAGCACGUGUGUAUCCGCCGGAGAGCUGGGCUGGCACCAGGCUCAGUUUCCAUAACCUCAGGGCAAGGUGAGGAAGCACGGCCUCUGAAUCAGGCCCCAGACUGUGAAAUGGAAAAUCUAAUCACCCCUGCCCUGGAGGAAAAGAUGCAGGGUGCAUGGCAUCACUGCCUUAAGGGAAUAGUCCUCUCCUUGGGGACAGAGUCAAAGGGUGACUUUAUUUCUGUCUAAAAUGAGUUCAUAAAAUCAUAUGCAAGGAAGAUGAUAUGAAAAUGGAUCUUUUGUUCAUGUUUGCAUGUAUCACAGGCCCAAGCAUGGACUUUUGUAGCCUGUGGGUGUGCACUACAUCUGGUUUUUGACUUGUAUUAUAAAAGAUAAGAAAUAUUGUAAAAUGUCUUGUUUCUCAGAUGCUACUAAUAAUCACAAAAAGAUAUGAGUUUGAAGUGAUUGUCUGGCAUUCAAAUUUCUCUUUAGGGGGGAAGUAUAUCAAUAUUAAAGUGGCUUAGUC